rnacentral:rRNA from 1 species
UACAGAGGUCCCGAGCGUUGUUCGGAUUUACUGGGCGUAAAGGGCGCGUAGGCGGCAAUUCAAGUCAUCUGUGAAAUCUCCGGGCUUAACCCGGAACGGUCAGGUGAUACUGUUUUGCUAGAGUGCGGAAGGGGCAAUCGGAAUUCUCGGUGUAGCGGUGAAAUGCGUAGAUAUCGAGAGGAACACCAGAGGUGAAGACGGGUUGCUGGGCCGACACUGACGCUGACAGCGCGAAAGCCAGGGGAGCAAACGGG